rnacentral:rRNA from 1 species
UACGAAGGGGGCUAGCGUUGUUCGGAAUUACUGGGCGUAAAGCGCGCGCAGGCGGUCUUCCAAGUCAGUGGUGAAAGCCCGGAGCUCAACUCCGGAACUGCCAUUGAAACUGUUAGACUUGAGGAUGAGAGAGGUGAGUGGAAUUCCCAGUGUAGAGGUGAAAUUCGUAGAUAUUCGCAAGAACACCAGUGGCGAAGGCGGCUAACUGGUCCGGUUCUGACGCUGAGGCGCGAAAGCGUGGGGAGCAAACAGG